rnacentral:rRNA from 1 species
UACGUAGGUGACAAGCGUUGUCCGGAUUUACUGGGCGUAAAGAGCGCGCAGGCGGUCGUUCAAGUCGAGUGUGAAAGCCCCCGGCUCAACUGGGGAGGGUCACUCGAUACUGAUCGACUUGAAGGCAGGAGAGGGAAGCGGAAUUCCCGGUGUAGUGGUGAAAUGCGUAGAUAUCGGGAGGAACACCAGUGGCGAAGGCGGCUUUCUGGUCUGUAACUGACGCUGAGGCGCGAAAGCGUGGGGAGCAAACAGG